rnacentral:rRNA from 1 species
CCUACGGGAGGCAGCAGUAGGGAAUUUUGCGCAAUGGGCGCAAGCCUGACGCAGCAACACCGCGUGAAUGUUAAGCCCUUCGGGGUGUAAAGUUCUGUCAAUAGGGACGAAUUUUGACUGUACCUAUAAAUGAAUCAACGGCUAACGCCGUGCCAGCAGCCGCGGUAAUACGGGGGGUGCAAGCGUUGUCCGGAAUCAUUGGGCGUAAAGCGUUCGUAGGCGGCAAGGUAAGUCUGAUGUUAAAGCCCGGGGCUCAACUCCGGUUCGGCAUUGGAUACUAUCUAGCUAGAGAGUAGUAGAGGUAAGCGGAAUGCCUGGUGUAGCGGUGAAAUGCGUAGAGAUCAGGAGGAACAUCGGUGGCGAAAGCGGUUUACUGGACCAUUAUUGACGCUGAGGAACGAAAGCGAGGGGAGCAAAUGGAAUUAGAUACCCCUGUAGUC